UUCUCGUUUUCCCCCUUUAUUUCCCGUUUGUUUCCCUUUAUUUCCCCAGUUCUUCUUUCCUUUCUCAAUUCUCCUUUCUUUCCCCCAAACUGCUCCUUUCUUUCCCUAAUUCUUCUUUAUUCUUCCCCCAUUCUAAUUAUUUCCCCCAAAUCCUCCUUCUUUCCCAAUUCUCAUCUUCCUUUCCUCAAUUCUUGUCUUUCUUUCCCCAAAUUCUUCUCUCCUUUCCCCAAUUCUCAUCUUUCUUUCCUUCAUUCCCAUCUUUCUUUCCCCAUUUCCUCUCUUUCUUUCCCCAAUUCCCCCUCUCCUUUCCCCAAUUCUUCCUCUCCUUUCCCCAGUUCUCCUCUUUCUUUCCCCAAUUCCCUCUUUCUUUCCCUAAUUCUCCUCUUCCUUUCCUCAAUUCUCGUCUUUCUUUCCCCAAAUUCUUCUCUCCUUUCCCCAAUUCUCAUCCUUCUUUCCUCCAUUCCCAUCUUUCUUUCCCCAUUUCUUCUCUUUCUUUCCCUAAAUUCCCAUCUUUCUUUCCCCAGUUCUCCUCUUCCUUUCCCGUGUUCUCCUCUCCUUUGCCCAAAUUCUCUUCUUUCUUUCCCUAAUUCUCCUCUUUCUUUCCUCAUUUCUUCUCCUUCCUUCCCCAAUUCUUGUCUUUCUUUCCCCAGUUCUUCUUUCUUUCCCCAUUUCCUGUCUCGUCUUUCAUUUCCCCCCAGUUCCUGCUUCUUUCCCCAAUUUUUGUCUUCCUUUCCCCAGUUCUCCUCUUUUUUUCCCCAGAUCUCGUCUUUCUUUCCCCAAAUUCUUCUCUCCUUUUCCCAAUUCUCCUCUUUCUUUCCCCCGUUCUCCUCCUUCUUUCCUCAUUUCUUCUCCUUCUUUCCCCAAUUCACGUCUUUCUUUCCCGUUCAUUUUCUUUCUUUCUUCCUUUCUCUCCUGUCUCGUCUUUCAUUUCCCCAAGUUCCUGCUUCUUUCCCCAAUUUUUGUCUUCCUUUCCCCAAAUUCUUCUUCCUUUCCCCANUCCUUUCUCUCCUGUCUCGUCUUUCAUUUCCCCAAGUUCCUGCUUCUUUCCCCAAUUUUUGUCUUCCUUUCCCCAAAUUCUUCUUCCUUUCCCCAGUUCUCCUCUUUCUUUCCCCAAAUUCUUCUCUCCUUUUCCCAAUUCUCCUUCCUUUCCCGUGUUCUCCUAUUUCUUUCCCAUGUUCUCCUCUUUCUUUCCUCAUUUCUUCUCCUUCCUUCCCCAGUUCUUGUCUUUCUUUCCCUAGUUCUUUUUCUUUCUUUCUUUCUUUCUUUUUCUUUCUUUCUUUCUUUUUCUUGUCUCCUCUUUCAUUUCCCCAAGUUCCUGCUUCUUUCCCCAAUUCUUGUCUUCCUUUCCCCAAAUUCUUCGCUCCUUUCCCCAGUUCUCCUCUUUCUUUCCCCAGUUCCUGUCUUUUCCAAUUCUUCCUCUCCUUUCCCCAGUUCUCCUCUUUCUUUCCCCAAAUUCUUCUCCUCCUUUCCCCAAUUCUCGUCUCUUUCCCUAAAUUCUUCUUUCUUUCCCCAAUUCUCUUCUUUCUUUCCCGUUCUCUUUCUUUCUUUCUCUUUCUUUCUUUCUUUUUCCUUCUUUCCUUCCUUCUUUCCUUUUCUUUCCUUUCUUUUCUUUCUUUCUUUUUCCUUCUUUCCUUCCUUCUUUUCUUCCUUCUUUCCUUUCUUUUAUUUUCUUUCUUUUUUCUUCUUUCCUUCCUUCUUUCCCUUUCUUUCUUUCCUUUCUUUUCUUUCUUUUUCUUUCUUUUUCCUUCUUUCCUUCCUUCUUUCCUUCCUUCUUUUCUUCCUUCUUUCCUUUCCUUUCUUUUCUUUCUUUUUCCUUCUUUCCUUUCUUUUUCUUUCUUUCCUUCCUUUCUUUCCUUUCUUUUUUCUUUCUUUCCUUCCUCCUUUCCUUCCUUCCUUUCUUUUUCUUUCUUUCUUUUCUUUCUUUCCUGUCUCGUCUUUCAUUUCCCCCCAGUUCCUGCUUCUUUCCCCAAUGUUUGUCUUCCUUUCCCCAAAUUCUUCUCUCCUUUCCCCAGUUCUCCUCUUUCUCUCCUCCAUUCCCAUCUUUCUUCCCCAAUUCUUCCCCUUCUUUCCCCAAUUCUCAUCCCUUUCAUGGGGAGAAUCAAGGCAAAGGGAAAAAAAUGAACGGGUAGAGGAGAACGAAAGGGAGGAACAAUUAACAGAGAUAAUUAAAAACGGCGACUAAUGGCUGGAUAGCGUGAGAAAACUACUAGCAGAGGAUGGUUUCGAUCCAUCGACCUCUGGGUUAUGGGCCCAGCACGCUUCCGCUGCGCCACUCUGCUCCUGCAUUGAAGCUAAUUACUUUGUGCUUAUUAAUUACACAUUGAAAUUUUUGUUACUGGAAUAGAGGAAAAAAAUUUUUUUUUUUUUUAAAAACUGAAAAGCUGGCGCGAAUUCAUCAGAAUCUUUGUCUCACGCGGCUCGAAGCGCUGAUUGAGAUUAAUGACCGCAAAAGAAUGACGUGAUC
rnacentral:tRNA from 1 species